rnacentral:tRNA from 1 species
GCCGGCGUAGCUCAGUGGUAGAGCAACCGCCUUGUAAGCGGUAGGUCGCCAGUUCAAUCCUGGCCGCCGGCU